GGGUCAGUAGGUUGGUCGUGUCACCGGUACUUACUGGUCUCACUGAUUCCUCCUUCCUGAAGAACCGUAAUGCCAUUAAUUUGGUGUUGCGGGGAAACAGGACUGUUACUUUGAAAAAAUUAGAGUGUUUAAAGCAAGCUAACGCUUGAAUACAUUAGCAUGGAAUAAUGAAAUAGGACGAUCGAUCCUAUUUUGUUGGUUUCUAGGAUUGACGUA
rnacentral:rRNA from 1 species